rnacentral:rRNA from 1 species
AGCUGGGCAUGACGCUAGCCAGGUACCCAUUAUGGUAUAGAGGCAGGACUGACAUGCUGCCCAGCUUGCUGGGCGGAUUAGUGGCGAACGGGUGAGUAACCCGUGAGUAACCUGCCCUUGACUCUGGGAUAAGCCUGGGAAACUGGGUCUAAUUUUGGAUACUACCUCUUACCGCAUGGUGGGUGGUGGAAGGGGUUGGACUGGUUUUGGAUGGGCUCACGGCCUAUCAGCUUGUUGGUGGGGUAAUGGCUCACCAAGCCGACGACGGGUAGCCGGCCUGAGAGGGUGACCGGCCUUUCUGGGACUGAGACACGGCCCAGACUCCUACGGGAGGCAGCAGUGGGGAAUAUUGCACAAUGGGCGGAUGCCUGAUGCAGCGACGCCGCGUGAGGGAUGACGGCCUUCGGGUUGUAAACCUCUUUCAGUAGGGAAGAAGCGAGAGUGACGGUACCUGCAGAAGAAGCGCCGGCUAACUACGUGCCAGCAGCCGCGGUAAUACGUAGGGCGCAAGCGUUGUCCGGAAUUAUUGGGCGUAAAGAGCUCGUAGGCGGUUUGUCGCGUCUGCUGUGAAAGCCCGGGGCUUAAUUCCGGGUCUGCAGUGGGUACGGGCAGACUAGAGUGCAGUAGGGGAGACUGGAAUUCCUGGUGUAGCGGUGAAAUGCGCAGAUAUCAGGAGGAACACCGAUGGCGAAGGCAGGUGUCUGGGCUGUUACUGACGCUGAGGAGCGAAAGCAUGGGGAGCGAACAGGAUUAGAUACCCUGGUAGUCCAUGCCGUAAACGUUGGGCACUAGGUGUGGGGGACAUUCCACGUUAACCGCGCCGUAGCUAACGCAUUAAGUGCCCCGCCUGGGGAGUACGGCCGCAAGGCUAAAACUCAAAGGAAUUGACGGGGGCCCGCACAAGCGGCAGAGCAUGCGGAUUAAUUCGAUGCAACGCGAAGAACCUUACCAAGGCUUGACAUUCACCGGACCGCCCCAGAGAUGGGGUUUCCCUUCGGGGCUGGUGGACAGGUGGUGCAUGGUUGUCGUCAGCUCGUGUCGUGAGAUGUUGGGUUAAGUCCCGCAACGAGCGCAACCCUCGUUCUAUGCCGCCAGCACGUGAUGGUGGGGACUCAUAGGAGACUGCGGGGUCAACUCGGAGGAAGGUGGGGAUGACGUCAAAUCAUCAUGCCCCUUAUGUCUUGGGCUUCACGCAUGCUACAAUGGCCGGUACAAAGGGUUGCGAUACUGUGAGGUGGAGCUAAUCCCAAAAAGCCGGUCUCAGUUCGGAUUGAGGUCUGCAACUCGACCUCAUGAAGUCGGAGUCGCUAGUAAUCGCAGAUCAGCAACGCUGCGGUGAAUACGUUCCCGGGCCUUGUACACACCGCCCGUCAAGUCACGAAAGUUGGUAACACCUUAAGCCGGUGGCCUAACCCCUUGUGGGAGAGAGCCG